rnacentral:rRNA from 1 species
UACGUAGGGGGCAAGCGUUGUCCGGAAUCAUUGGGCGUAAAGCGCGUGUAGGCGGUCCGGUAAGUCCGCUGUGAAAGUCGGGGGCUCAACCCUCGGAUGCCGGUGGAUACUGUCGGGCUUGAGUACGGAAGAGGCGAGUGGAAUUCCUGGUGUAGCGGUGAAAUGCGCAGAUAUCAGGAGGAACACCAAUGGCGAAGGCAGCACUCUGGGACGUGACUGACGCUGAGACGCGAAAGCGUGGGGAGCAAACGGG